rnacentral:rRNA from 1 species
GACAGAGGUUGCAAGCGUUGUUCGGAAUUACUGGGCAUAAAGCGCACGUAGGCGGUCCGCUAAGUCAUGUGUGAAAUCCCCCGGCUCAACCGGGGAAUGGCGCCUGAUACUGGCGGACUCGAGAUCGGUAGGGGUGAGUGGAACUCCAGGUGGAGCGGUGAAAUGCGUAGAUAUCUGGAGGAACACCGGUGGCGAAGGCGGCAUCCUGGACCAUUACUGACACUGAAAAGCGAAAGCCAGGGGAGCAAACGGG